ACUUUAGUGUCUGAUAAAAGUUAAAAAUUGUAAAUUUUUACAUAACAGAAAUUUCUGUUCUAAAGUA